ACAACAACCAAGGAAUGGCUCAGAUUAAGCACUUCAAAGCCAACGCCCCAGAUUUAAUGAAGAUAAAAUUUGGAAAAAACGUUCGGUCCAUCGGGCAGAUUUAUCCCCGUAUCGGUUACUCCCAAUUUAAACAAAAUUCCCAGAAGUAAAAAAAAAGAAAAAAAAAAGUGGUGGUUACGAUCUGAAAAUGGCUCAGGAGUAUUAAGAGUUCCAGAAGUGCACACGACUUUAAUUAGUCUAAACGAAGUCCUGCACGCAUCCCUCAUAAAAAAAGUGUUACACGCAUAGCUCACGGCGCGGAAAAAUUGCAACCGCAUCCAGCAACCGCAUAGGCAAUCACCUCGAUCUCUUGCCUCAGCUAUGGCCGCCGCCAUCUCCAACACUGUCAGCAUAUCAUGGAGCCUCUAUGUCUACGGUCAGCGAACGUUGGAUGGGCGUUUCUGGACUCAUCUUCUCUCCCUGUGAUCUGCAAUUGAAGAUCACGUCCUCCUGGUCUCACAUGGCCCUGCUCUCCUACUGCCACUGAAGUUCACGCGCCUCAAGCAUCGUCAACGGCCGUGAGCUGCGUAGCCACGGGCUCUAGAAAUUAGACGGUCAUCGUUGCAACCAUGUCGAUCUGCGACUCUCCCGUUAAUAGAUUCUUUCACAUUGAUCUUGAAGUCUGACAUUGUGUGCCUCUGACGGCCGCGAUCAGCAGAAGGUUUGCUAUGGCCGGCGGCAAAUUCGCAUCCAUCACAGCUAGCACGGCCAGCGCUCUUUCACAUUGCUCUUCAAGUCUGACAUUGUGUGCCUCUGACGGCGGCGAUCAGCAGAAGGUUUGCUAUGGCCGGCGGCAAAUUCUCAUCCAUCAGAGCUAGCGCGGCCAGCGCCCUUUACUCGGGUCUAGAUUCUAGAACCAAUAUCUUGAUUAGAGAUUACAGAUUACAGAACUGUUGUUCUUUUUUGUCCUGCACUUCUCAUCCAAUCUUUGAUUUAUUUCCAUCUUAUUGGUAGCAUCGCUGGUGCAAGAAGUUGGACUGGUAGUUCAAGUCUUGACCAGACUGGGAUGAAAGAGAUUAGAUCAGGUCCGACUCACGAGUGCCACUAUAGGCAGCGAAAGUUGGAUCAUUAUUGGUGCUUUGACAUUGAACUUGCAGUCUGAAGGCGUUGUCUGAAGGCGUUGUCAGGAUCGGUGCUGCGUUACAACGGAAGGAACGAUAGGCCUUCACACGUAGCAUUGUUGGUGCAAGAAGCUGGACUGGUAGUUGAAGUCUUGACCAGACAGGGCUGAAAGAGAUUAGAUCAGGUACGACUCAUGUACAAUUAUUUAACCAUGCCCUUGAGAUCCCUAACCUCAGGAAAAAGAUACUGCACGGACAUGAUCUCGGUGGCGCAGCUCGGCAAGAGUUCGGGGCUUCCGGCCGGCAUGUCAUGCCGUGCAUCACGGCGCAGGAGGCAACAAUGCGAGCAAGAUUGCAUCUACAUCUUGCUAGCGCACUAUUCGCAGUUGAUGGAUGUGGCAGAAGAUUUCUGGGAACCGGGACGGAGACUGCCAUGGCAGCCAAGCCGAGCAGCCAAAGAACGAUUGUCACCAUCUACUUUUGCGUCCAACUGAAGAGCCAAAAGAUCGCGUCCAUGUUGUCCAAGAACAACCGAGACUUUCAGUGUUUGCUUGAGCUAGCGAUGCAACAAGUAGAUGCAUGUUUGAUUUAUCAAGUUGAGGUCUGACCAAUCGAUGGGCUGCCAAGAAAAAUAAGAAAUGCUUAUUUAUCCAUCAAACCUACUAUGAUUAAUACGAAGUUAGCGAUCAAAGGAAAAAUGAUGUGAGCGAUCUCUUCCGUAUGUUGGCAACUGCAAAUUAAAUGGAGGUUACAUAGGUAUACAUGACAAUAGGGUUUCAAUAAACUCAUUUGGGCCAAAAUUUGAGCAGAGUUGCAAUCACGUCGCAUCUGAAGCAUCAAGGAAAAAUCCGUACUCUGUCCAAGUCCAGACACAACCCGUUUAAGUCAACACCUGCUUGCUCCACAAAUGAGCAUAGUCUAAGAUUGUUCAUAGGGAAUUUCAUACUAUAUUUUUCUUAAUGCUGUGUUUGGAUGCAUGGAAUUAGGUCAUGGAAUUGGAAUUUGGGCCAAUUCCGCGAAUUCCGGCGUUUGGUCUGGCCUCGGAAUCUUGA